rnacentral:lncRNA from 1 species
AUGGCUUGGGAAACUGAUAAAAUAUUGUCUUCAAACUUUCCUUUUUGUAGUGCCUGCAUUGGCCCAAAAUUCAACUCUUAUUUCAGUUUUCUACCUCACUGCAAUACCUUCUGGAUAUCUUUACAAUGUCAACAUCCAAUUUCACAGCCUCAAUGGAACUUGGCCAAUUCUACUUGAUUUAGGAAGAGAAUAAGACAGUAUUUACCUAGGUAAGUACUUAGAUGUCUCUGUCACUUCAGAUUCCUUCAGAUUUUAACUUUACCUUCAGCAAGUUCAUUUGAACCACAGUGCAGAGAAAAGAGAUGUCUUUAAUGAGUUUCUUUAAUAGGAGACAAUUUCAAAACAUAGUGAAAUGUAAAAUGAAACUAAAUUUUAAGAAUAGCUCUGAAAACUGUUUCAAACUGUCGAGUAGAGGUCGCUUUUUACUCUAAACAUUGAAAAGUGUUGGAAUUGAUUUGUUUCCCUAGGAAACAAAUGAUGAGUUCUGCUUUUUUCCCCUACUUGAGAACCAUGAACAAAAAAUGCCAUGGCGGUCCCUCAGGUUGAAAGAUCUAAAAACGUGUUUGUUUUGAAUAGGUAUCCUAAAUGACAUUUCUCAUUGUAAGCAGAAAAUAUCAGCAUUAUUUGUGAAGGUCUAGAGAUCAAGAAUCUAUCUAUGUAUAAGCCUUGUUGCUCAGCUUAUUUAGUUAAAUCUGGAAGGAACCAAAUGUGUGAUGUCUUAUUUUGAGUGAACACUUGACAUUGCUAUCAGAUAAAAUUACAAGCUAAAACUCUGCAGAAAGUCACAUUGUAAUUAAGCUAUUCUAAUUGAACGCUCUAUCUUUUUUAAUAGUCACCAUUGCCUUCAGUUUAUUAGUAAACAUUAUCUAAUAAAGUACUCUGUUGUAUAGGAAAGUUUGAGCAAAAGGAAAAUCGUUUGGGGAAAUCAGUAAGCAAUGAAUUGAAGCUGAGACGUUUUAUGUUAUCUUGUAGCAGCCUGGCAAUUAUGUUUCUCCGCAGAAUGAAUGCUUAGUAUUAAUUUUGUGCAUGUAGAGAGCAUCUCUGGUGAUUCGGAAGUGAUAGAGAGGCACUUCUUGGUACUUUCCAGUUCCCAUAUAAACCACUGCAUUGAAAGUAAUUAAAAAACACAUAGUUAGGUGCUUAAAGAAUAAUUUUUUUUUCCAUUACU